GCCACAUCCAUGAGACCCGUGAGUGGAUCCUACGUAACUCUGCUGUACCAGUGGGGACAGUUCCCAUCUAUCAAGCACUUGAAAAAGUGAAUGGAAUUGCUGAAGAUCUUACCUGGGAAGUAUUCAGAGACACCCUGAUUGAACAAGCUGAGCAGGGGGUUGAUUACUUCACAAUACAUGCUGGAGUUCUGCUUCGUUAUAUUCCAUUAACAGCAAAUCGCAUGACUGGAAUUGUCUCUCGUGGAGGAUCAAUUCAUGCAAAAUGGUGCUUAGCUUAUCAUAAGGAGAACUUUGCAUAUGAGCACUGGGAUGAAAUACUUGACAUCUGUAAUCAAUAUGACAUCUCGUUGUCAAUAGGUGAUGGGCUCAGACCCGG
rnacentral:lncRNA from 1 species